ACUCAAAGGAAUUGACGGGGGCCCGCACAAGCGGUGGAGCAUGUUGUUUAAUUCGACGCAACGCGCAGAACCUUACCAACUCUUGACAUGUACAUAGCGGCCCUAAGAGAUUAGGGCUUCAUUUAGUUGGAUGUACACAGGUGUUGCAUGGCUGUCGUCAGCUCGUGUCGUGAGAUGUUGGGUUAAGUCCCGCAACGAGCGCAACCCUCACCAUUAGUUGCCAGCAUUCAGUUGGGCACUCUAAUGGAACCGCCUGCGACAAGCAGGAGGAAGGUGGGGAUGAUGUCAAGUCCUCAUGGCCCUUACGAGUUGGGCUACAAACGUGCUACAAUGGCGGCCACAACGGGCAGCGACUCCGCGAGGAGAAGCUAAUCCCGAAAAGCCGUCUCAGUUCGGAUCGGACUCUGCAACCCGAGUCCGUGAAGUCGGAAUCGCUAGUAAUCGCGGAUCAGCACGCCGCGGUGAAUACGUUCCCGGGCCUUGUACACACCGCCCGU
rnacentral:rRNA from 1 species